GGGGAUAUAGCUCAAUUGGUAGAGCACCAGCUUUGCAAGCUGGGGGUUAUCGGUUCGAUUCCGAUUAUCUCCA
rnacentral:tRNA from 1 species